AACAAAUCGCCGUUGAUCCACAGCCGCUACAGCUGCUGCAUUGUCGCGACCAGGAUUUAAACCAGAAUUAGCACCAGAAAAUGUUCCUUGUGAUGCUUUGUCACCAAUAUGUUGUUCAAGUAUGGAAACAGGAUCACUAAAACAUCCAGAUACUAAAGCACCUAUCAUUUUGCAAGGAAUAAGACCGCGAGAAAUGUAAAAAUAAAUCUCGUUGGGAAGACGGGUGCCAAAAUAUAUAUUUAUGUCGUUAGGAACAGAUUCUGUGGGAACUGGUGGUAAAGUGAGACCUUUUGUAUCCAUCACAAUUCCAAACUUAGAGAAACAAACAGCCCUUUUGUACUGUUGAAGAUAAUCUUGAAAAAUGGGCUGGGGAAAGAUUUCAGCAAAAUGAAGGACUGCACGAUACGCAGAACCAAACAUACGAACAAGCUCCAUUGCGCUUUUAAUUAGAAAAGUACCCUCAAUCUGAGGAAAUGUAGGAGAAAUAGCAGUACCACACAAUAAACAGGAAUCGAUGAACUGCUGCCAUGAAAGGCCGUUCGUGUCUUGAAGAAGGGCAUUUCCAUCUAACCAUGUGAAUGAACUUUUAGCGGCCGAAUUGAUAGUUGUUUGAGUUGAUGGGGAUGAAGGGUCAGAUGAG